rnacentral:rRNA from 1 species
CAGCAGCCGCGGUAACACGUAGGGUGCAAGCGUUAAUCGGAAUUACUGGGCGUAAAGCGUGCGCAGGCGGUUAUAUAAGACAGAUGUGAAAUCCCCGGGCUCAACCUGGGAACUGCAUUUGUGACUGUAUAGCUAGAGUACGGCAGAGGGGGAUGGAAUUCCGCGUGUAGCAGUGAAAUGCGUAGAUAUGCGGAGGAACACCGAUGGCGAAGGCAAUCCCCUGGGCCUGUACUGACGCUCAUGCACGAAAGCGUGGGGAGCAAACAGGAUUAGAUACCCGUGUAGUCCUGUCUCUUAUACA